UACGAAGGGGGCUAGCGUUGUUCGGAUUUACUGGGCGUAAAGCGCACGUAGGCGGAUCGUUAAGUCGGGGGUGAAAUCCUGGAGCUCAACUCCAGAACUGCCUUCGAUACUGGCGCUCUUGAGUCCGGAAGAGGUGAGUGGAACUCCUAGUGUAGAGGUGGAAUUCGUAGAUAUUAGGAAGAACACCAGUGGCGAAGGCGGCUCACUGGUCCGGUACUGACGCUGAGGUGCGAAAGCGUGGGUACGCA
rnacentral:rRNA from 1 species